UACGAAGGGUGCAAGCGUUACUCGGAAUUACUGGGCGUAAAGCGUGCGCAGGUGGUGCGUUAAGUCCGAUGUGAAAGCCCUGGGCUCAACCUGGGAAUGGCAUUGGAUACUGGCGGGCUAGAGUGCGGUAGAGGAUAGUGGAAUUCCUGGUGUAGCAGUGAAAUGCGUAGAGAUCAGGAGGAACAUCCGUGGCGAAGGCGACUGUCUGGACCAGCACUGACACUGAGGCACGAAAGCGUGGGGAGCAAACAGG
rnacentral:rRNA from 1 species